GACGAACGCUGUUUGCGUGCUUAACACAUGCAAGUCGAACGGAAAGGCCCUGCUUUUGUGGGGUGCUCGAGUGGCGAACGGGUGAGUAACACGUAAGUAACCUGCCCUUGACUUUGGGAUAACUUCAGGAAACUGGGGCUAAUACCGGAUAGGAGCUCCUGCUGCAUGGUGGGGGUUGGAAAGUUUCGGCGGUUGGGGAUGGACUCGCGGCUUAUCAGCUUGUUGGUGGGGUAGUGGCUUACCAAGGCUUUGACGGGUAGCCGGCCUGAGAGGGUGACCGGCCACAUUGGGACUGAGAUACGGCCCAGACUCCUACGGGAGGCAGCAGUGGGGAAUAUUGCACAAUGGGCGGAAGCCUGAUGCAGCAACGCCGCGUGCGGGAUGACGGCCUUCGGGUUGUAAACCGCUUUCGCCUGUGACGAGGCGUGAGUGACGGUAAUGGGUAAAGAAGCACCGGCUAACUACGUGCCAGCAGCCGCGGUGAUACGUAGGGUGCGAGCGUUGUCCGGAUUUAUUGGGCGUAAAGGGCUCGUAGGUGGUUGAUCGCGUCGGAAGUGUAAUCUUGGGGCUUAACCCUGAGCGUGCUUUCGAUACGGGUUGACUUGAGGAAGGUAGGGGAGAAUGGAAUUCCUGGUGGAGCGGUGGAAUGCGCAGAUAUCAGGAGGAACACCAGUGGCGAAGGCGGUUCUCUGGGCCUUUCCUGACGCUGAGGAGCGAAAGCGUGGGGAGCGAACAGGCUUAGAUACCCUGGUAGUCCACGCUGUAAACGGUGGGUACUAGGUGUGGGGUCCAUUCCACGGGUUCCGUGCCGCAGCUAACGCUUUAAGUACCCCGCCUGGGGAGUACGGCCGCAAGGCUAAAACUCAAAGGAAUUGACGGGGCCCCGCACAAGCGGCGGAGCAUGCGGAUUAAUUCGAUGCAACGCGUAGAACCUUACCUGGGUUUGACAUGGAUCGGGAGUGCUCAGAGAUGGGUGUGCCUCUUUUGGGGUCGGUUCACAGGUGGUGCAUGGCUGUCGUCAGCUCGUGUCGUGAGAUGUUGGGUUAAGUCCCGCAACGAGCGCAACCCUUGUUCACUGUUGCCAGCACGUUAUGGUGGGGACUCAGUGGAGACCGCCGGGGUCAACUCGGAGGAAGGUGGGGAUGACGUCAAGUCAUCAUGCCCCUUAUGUCCAGGGCUUCACGCAUGCUACAAUGGCUGGUACAGAGAGUGGCGAGCCUGUGAGGGUGAGCGAAUCUCGGAAAGCCGGUCUCAGUUCGGAUUGGGGUCUGCAACUCGACCUCAUGAAGUCGGAGUCGCUAGUAAUCGCAGAUCAGCAACGCUGCGGUGAAUACGUUCCCGGG
rnacentral:rRNA from 1 species